AUUGAACGCUGGCGGCAGGCUUAACACAUGCAAGUCGAACGAGUGGCGGACGGGUGAGUAAUGUCUGGGAAACUGCCUGAUGGAGGGGGAUAACUACUGGAAACGGUAGCUAAUACCGCGUACCAUCCGAUGUGCCCAAAUGGGAUUAGCUAGUUGGUGGGGUAAAGGCUCACCUAGGCGACGAUCCCUAGCUGGUCUGAGAGGAUGACCAGCCACACUGGAACUGAGACACGGUCCAGACGCCUACGGGAGGCAGCAGUGGGGAAUAUUGCACAAUGGGCGCAAGCCUGAUGCAGCCAUGCCGCGUGUAUGAAGAAGGCCUUCGGGUUGUAAAGUACUUUCAGCGGGGAGGCGUUACCCGCAGAAGAAGCACCGGCUAACUCCGUGCCAGCAGCCGCGGUAAUAC
rnacentral:rRNA from 1 species